rnacentral:rRNA from 1 species
AUUGAACGCUGGCGGCAGGCCUAACACAUGCAAGUCGAACGAGUGGCGGACGGGUGAGUCAUGUCUGGGAAACUGCCCGAUGGAGGGGGAUAACUACUGGAAACGGUAGCUAAUACCGCAUACCAUCGGAUGUGCCCAGAUGGGAUUAGCUAGUAGGUGGGGUAACGGCUCACCUAGGCGACGAUCCCUAGCUGGUCUGAGAGGAUGACCGGCCACACUGGAACUGAGACACGGUCCAGACUCCGACGGGAGGAAGCAGUGGGGAAUAUGGCACAAUGGGCGCAAGCCUGAUGCAGCCAUGCCGCGUGUAGGAAGAAGGCCUUCGGUGUGUAAAGUACGUUCAGCGGGGAGGCGUUACCCGCAGAAGAAGCACCGGCUAACUCCGUGCCAGCAGCCGCGGUAAUGC